CUCCCUGUCAGUUUGAAGCCAUUCCCCCUUGUCCUGUCACUCUAGGCCCCUUGUAAACAGUCUCUCUCCAUCUUUAUUGUGGGCUCCCUUUUGGGUGCUGGAAAUAACAUUUCUUAUACACCUUUCAACCUCUUCAGGGAAAGCAGCAAGGUCCCAUCCCUAUUCAACCCAAAUUCACUCCUGGGGCUGUUUCACCCAUAACACUGAACAAGGUGCAGGACAGCUGAGAACAUUCGUAUGCCAACACCUUGUUCCUAUACCAACACAGGCAGCAGCACCAUUUCAUCUGCCAGUGCUGCUGAGGCUGCCCGAGGCCACAAGUUUGGACAAAGAUCCAAGUGGCCACUAAAGUGGGAGAUAACUCUUUCCAAAUCGUCAUGUCUUCUACAGACUCUUGGACUCCUCUGUACCAAUGUAUUUUCCAGUUCUGGGAACAUCCAACACAUGUGUUUGUGUGACAAGAAGAUACCUCGGCAACUCAUCCCUGUUUUCCAGUACCAUCCCUCCCUUAGUUCUGAGAUUCUGGGAAGAGCUAUGAGUGGGAAAGGAAGUGGAAGAAAUGAGAAAGUUUGAGGUGAAUGACCUAAUGACAAUUAGAGAAUCUUCCAGAAUAAGAGUCAGAUCCUUUAUUCUGAAGAAAACUUAUUCAAAGUCAGACAGAAGUGAAUCUUUACCAACAUCAGAGGAGAUCUUGGCAGGAGGAAGCCUCAAGCACCUAAAGGUCCUCCUGAAGGAGCCAGCAAUGAGUCCUUGCAACCAGGGAACACUUUGAUAGUCAGUGCUUGCACCCGCACAGCAGUAAGCACAAGCAUUACAUUUAUUUGAGAAGAUAUGGGAAAAUCAUGAAGACCCUUCUGCAUUGCACAGGACAUGGGAAAAUCCUCAAGUCAAAAUCCAAAACCUCCAGGUCUCGGCAGGUCAGACUUGGGCAGAUGGUUUGUUUUGCCUCAGUUCAGGUUGGCAAUGAUGUUCACCACCAAUAGAAAGCCAGAAAAUGUUAUCAUGGCCAGGAUGUGCUUUUGAAAUGUUCUUGGAUCCAAAGGGAAGUGAGCAGCCAAGGAUGAGUCUCGGGAUGUUGCUGUCGCCUUGCACCAUCAGGGGCUACUCCACCCUUCUCCUGCACAACCACCUGCUAAAACAACCAGUUGAAACCACACCUGUAACAUCAGAGAAGAGACCAGCAAUGAGCAGAAAUGUGAGAAAGUGUAAUUCUGGAGACAGGAGAGACACGGACACACACCACUAUUGGUGUUUCUGUUUACAGAAAUCAAAUUGCUCAGUUUCUUUGUACCUGUGUUUUUUCUCACCUGUAAAACCAGCACGAUUUUGGCACUUGUUUGUCGCUGUUACAGACUUACUUUGCUACAAUAGGAUGUUCAAGAAGUUUAGAUUUUAUCCUUUCUUAAAACAAAAAUGAAAUAUCAAAACCUCUUCUUUCUGUGGUUGCAAAAUGAAAGUUGUGUUUUAUAGCCAUGUCUAAAAAUGAGCAACUGAAGUUUUCAAACUAAUUGGAAGCACAGAAUUAAGGCACUUUAGAACAAUUUUGUCUUUGAAGAAGCAGGCAGGCAAUCUUUCAUGAAAGACUUCAGCAAAGACAUUUGCCCCCUUCACCAAGAUAAUCUGAUGCAGUCCAGAUGUUUGCUGUAUGCUGGGUGUGUACCUUCUGCCUCUGAUGAAGAAACCAAUCUGGACAUCCUUGGGUUCCUUUCCUUUUACAGCUUAAGAGGAUUUAAACCUGUUUUGUCCUGAACUGUCUACUCACAUUAUCAUUAGGGAUGGGCAAAUCGCCAUAGGAAGGAAAGGCUGGCGUAGGUCAGGACUGAAAGUUUGGUUACCUAGGCAAACUCAGCCAAAACACUCAGGAAUUCAAAGGUUUUUAGCUAGGAAGAAUAUAAUAAAUACAUAGCUUUUAAUUUCUGGUUUUGAAAAAAUAAAACAACCUUUCUUA